CGGUUGGGUUCAGUUCGUGCAGGAGCAGGAGCACGCAGAAUCCUCCAAAUUGUCGCUUCCUAGAAGCUCAAGAUGGUGUUGUUCCCAAUUUGUGCAGGUCAGGAGAGCAACAACGCACAUGCAGCACAGAUUUGUGCGUCUUCUCCAUGCAAUCUUGUUUACUUAAUCUUCAGCCUGGGCCAUCUCUGUCACCAACGCCUACAGCCUGGGAACAUGAGCUCUGGCGGCAACACAAAGAAUUCAGUAAACACUAUUUUUGCAGAAUUGUUGUUGUCAGUUAACUGAAACUACAGCACAUUCCAAUCAAUUGGCUGCAGUAAAGAACUGAAGAGAUGUUAGUUUUUCCCACAUUUUGGAAAGAACCAUGCACAAAGGAAACAAACACGUCAUCUGAUGGUGUACCUUCUUAAGCUAGCAGUACUCUGAUGGAGUACCUUCUUCAGAGGGCAAAUAGCACCAGCAGCAGCAGUCACGGCGGCAGUCAACAGCAACAACAGAGGAGCAGUAGCAUCAACACGAAUCAGCAACAGCAGCACAGGCAGAGGAGCAGUAGCAUCAACACGGGAAGAGGAGCAGGAGCAGCACGGGAGCUCCACCGGCGGCAGGGGAGAAACAGAGGAGAAACAAGAUGCAGCAGCACAGGCUAGCACCACAGGCGGGCACGCAGGCAGAGAAGGAGCACCACGGCGGCGCGUGGGAGCUCGACGAGGACUCGCGGGAGACCACGGAGGACGCGUGCGAGCUGCUGUCCACGACGGAUCGUGGAGGCCGGCUCCGGCAAUGCCCGUAGGAUCGGGUGGCGCACGGGAGGCAGCUCAAGGUGGACUCGCGGGAGCUCGAGUACGAUGAGAGGGAGCUCCUGCUCCACCAGAUCGUGGUGGCAAAUUCCAGCGACACCCGCAGG